GAUGAACGCUAGCGGCAGGCCUAACACAUGCAAGUCGAGGGAGAAGCCCUUUCGGGGGCAGAAACCGGCGCACGGGUGCGUAACGCGUAUGCAACCUACCUUUCACAGGGGGAUAGCCCGAAGAAAUUUGGAUUAAUACCCCAUAAUAUUAUUGGAUGGCAUCAUUUGAUAAUUAAAACUGCGGUGGUGAAAGAUGGGCAUGCGUCCUAUUAGCUAGUUGGAGUGGUAAAGGCACCCCAAGGCUACGAUAGGUAGGGGUCCUGAGAGGGAGAUCCCCCACACUGGUACUGAGACAGGGAACAGACUCCUACGGGAGGCAGCAGUGGGGAAUAUUGGUCAAUGGUCGGAAGACUGAACCAGCCAUGCCGCGUGCAGGAAGAAUGCCUUAUGGGUUGUAAACUGCUUUUAUAUGGGAAGAAUAAGGCGUACGUGUACGUUGAUGACGGUACCAUAUGAAUAAGCAUCGGCUAACUCCGUG
rnacentral:rRNA from 1 species